rnacentral:lncRNA from 1 species
GUUUGAUUUUAUCUGCUUGGACAACAGGGGGAGAUAGCGCCGUCGUGAAAGUAAAACGCCUACUUGGAGAAAGUCCCAUAACUUCGUGGCCGAGAGAGCUUCUUAAAACCAACACAGAGAAAGAAAAAACAAAUGAUAAUAAUCUAGAAGACCGGAAAGAAAGGAAAAAAGCCCUAGACAUCUAGCAGAACAUGUCCAACUUGAUACCUCAGCACAUUUAUCUAGAGCCCUCAUUGACCUGGAUGAAGUAGAAAAGACUGAAUUGGAAGCUCGGUGCUCAAUGACUCUGUCCAUGUAGAUAAAUCAUCUCCUGUCAGUAGAAUGCAAGGCCCAUAGAAGAAACAAACAUUUACCUGGCCUAUUGUUCUUUACAUUGUGUUUCAGCCUCAGGAAGACUCAGGUGGAAUGGUGUUUAGACAUAAAUCUGUCUACAUGGCCUCCUU